AACCAGAUGGAAAUAUUUUUGGCGUCUUCUGCUCAAUGUUAUUAUAAAUAGCCGCAGUACCCUGACUGUGCAAAGGUAGCAUAAUAAAUUGGCUUAUAAUUGAAGUCUUGAAUGAAUGAAUGAAUGAAUUAUUUCUGUCUCAUUUAAAUAUUUAGAAAUUAAUUAAUAAGUGAAAAAGCUUAUUUAUAAAUAAAAGACGAGAAGACCCUUAAAAUUUUAAUAAAUUUAUACAAUAAUGUAUUAGCAUUUUUGUUGGGGCGACAAAUUAACAGUUUAAACUUAUUUUAAUAAAUUUGAAUUUUUUAUAAAGAAAAAAAAAAUUACUUAAGGGAUAACAGCUUAAUCUUAAAAGGUUUGUGACCUCGAUGUUGGACUAGGAUUUGUUUUGAUUAAAAAUUAAAAUUAAUGGUUCUGUUCGAACUUAGUAUCCUACAUG
rnacentral:rRNA from 1 species